AUUGAACGCUGGCGGCAGGCCUAACACAUGCAAGUCGAGCGGAGCGGCGGACGGGUGAGUAAUGCCUAGGAAUCUGCCUGGUAGUGGGGGAUAACGUCGGGAAACGGGCGCUAAUACCGCAUGCUAUCAAAUGAACCUAGGUCGGAUUAGCUAGUUGGUGGGUUAACGCCCUACAAAGGAGACGAUCCGUAACUGGUCUGUUAGGUUGAUCAGUCACACUGGAACUGAGACACGGUCCAGCCUCAUACGGGAGGCAGCAGUGGGGAAUAUUGGACAAUGGGCGAAAGCCUGCUCCAGCCCUGUCGCGUGUGUGAAGAAGGUCUUCGGAUUGUAAAGCACUUUAAGUUGGGAGGCGUUACCAACAGAAUAAGCACCGGCUAACUUCGUGCCAGCAGCCGCGGUAAUAC
rnacentral:rRNA from 1 species